AUGAGUAUGCUUUCACUGGCUGGACUUGUGGCAUUUGUGCUUGCAUUUUCUCUGGGCAUGGGAGCCAUCCCAUGGAUUAUAAUGUCUGAGAUUCUUCCUGUUAACAUCAAGAGUCUUGCCGGAAGCACCGCCACCCUUGCAAACUGGAUGACGUCGUGGCUCAUCACGAUGACCGCGAGCUUGAUGCUAAACUGGAGCAACGGAGGAACCUUUGCUAUAUACGCGGCAGUGUCCAUGGGCACCCUCCUCUUCGUGUGCCUGUGCGUGCCGGAGACCAAGGGGAGAACGCUCGAGGAGAUUGCGUUCUCGUUCCGCUGA
rnacentral:rRNA from 1 species